UGGGGAAUUUUGGACAAUGGGCGAAAGCCUGAUCCAGCAAUGCCGCGUGUGUGAAGAAGGCCUUCGGGUUGUAAAGCACUUUUGUCCGGAAAGAAAUCCUUGGCUCUAAUACAGUCGGGGGAUGACGGUACCGGAAGAAUAAGCACCGGCUAACUACGUGCCAGCAGCCGCGGUAAUACGUAGGGUGCAAGCGUUAAUCGGAAUUACUGGGCGUAAAGCGUGCGCAGGCGGUUUGCUAAGACCGAUGUGAAAUCCCCGGGCUCAACCUGGGAACUGCAUUGGUGACUGGCAGGCUAGAGUAUGGCAGAGGGGGGUAGAAUUCCACGUGUAGCAGUGAAAUGCGUAGAGAUGUGGAGGAAUACCGAUGGCGAAGGCAGCCCCCUGGGCCAAUACUGACGCUCAUGCACAGAAGCGUGGGGAGCAAACAGGAUUAGAUACCCUGGUAGUCCACGCCCUAAACGAUGUCAACUAGUUGUUGGGGAUUCAUUUCCUUAGUAACGUAGCUAACGCGUGAAGUUGACCGCCUGGGGAGUACGGUCGCAAGAUUAAAACUCAAAUGAAUUGACGGGGUCAUAGCUGUUUCCU
rnacentral:rRNA from 1 species